UACGGGGGGAGCAAGCGUUGUUCGGAUUUACUGGGCGUAAAGGGCGCGUAGGCGGUCGUGACAAGUCACUUGUGAAAUCUCCGGGCUUAACUCGGAACGGUCAAGUGAUACUGUCGGACUAGAGUACAGAAGGGGCAACGUGGAAAUUCUCGGGUGUAGCGGUGAAAUGCGCAGAUAUCGGGAGGAACACCAGUGGCGAAGGCGGAACUCUGGGCCGGAA
rnacentral:rRNA from 1 species